ACAGCCUGGGGCACCAAGAUGGAGUCACAAACCCAGGUCUUCAUAUUCCUGCUCCUUUGGAUGUCUGGUGCUGAAGGGGACAUUGUGAUGACUCAGUCUCCUGAAAUCAUGUCCACAUCUGUAGGAGACAGGAUCACCCUAAGCUGCAAGUCCAGUCAGAGUGUGGGUAGCUAUGUACAUUGGUACCAACAGACACCAGGGCAACCUCCUAAACUGCUGAUGUACAGGGCAUCCAAUCGCCCCUCUGGGGUCCCUGAUCGCUUCACAGGCAGUGGAUCUGGGACAGAUUUCACUCUUUCCAUAAGCAGUGUGCAGGCUGAAGACCUGGCAGUUUAUUACUGUCAGAAUGGUUAUAGUACUCCUCCCACAAUGCUUCAGCCUCCAACAUAA